CCCACCGAAAAAGAGAAAAGAAACUCAUCCCGACCAACACUUUCUUCCCCACCCGCAGCACGCCGUGGCGUCCUCCUCUCUCCCUCUCAGGGCGCCGCCGCGCCAUCCCCUCUCCACCACGCGCCGCCACGCUCUCCCACUCUCCCCCAGUGCGCCGCCGCACCCUCCCCUCUCCCCCAGCGCGCCGCCGCACCCUUCCUUCUCCCCCAGCUCGCCGCCCCGCCCCCACCUUCUCCCUCAGCUUCGGUCGCCGCCCCCACAUUCUUCCUCGGCUCCAGCCCCGAGCACAACCUGGCACCGAUGGCCCCGACCAUGAUCUGCGUGGAUCUACUGCUGCUGCGACCAACCCAAGUACUAUUUGUCCUGCUCCUCUCCUCCUUUCCGUCACCGGCCAUUCAUCCAGGUCAGCUCUCCACCGACAGGCCCCGGUCGCUAAUCACCUCGACAGCCUCUGGUCGUGGUGUUCUCCUACCUGUGGUUGCCCUCGAUCACGAGCUCGUCCACCACAAUCGCUGGUAGCCGUCCAAGUUGAGCUCUGACCACAGUCGGAGCAGAACUUCAGCCACCAUCUUAACUUAACGGUGGAAGUUGCUCACUCAUCGAGCUCAACCACGGCCAAACAAAAAAACACCCCAUCUCCUCCUAGCAGAUGCUUGCCCCAUCCUCAGUUGCUGUGCACCUCCCUCCUGCCGGUUGCCGCCUCCAGCCCGACGUCCCUGCCCCCGGCGCCUCCACGCCCAGACCCCCUUCCUCUGUUCCUCAAAAAUCCGUCAAUAGGAAAGCCUCAAAAACCCAUCAGUUGGAAAGCCGUUCAACGUCCGUGGCUGAGAACGUCCAUGAGCUCCUCUGUUAUCAGUUCCUUCGAUCGACAGUGGGUUGUGGCUCCUUGGUGAGCAUACCUUUUGUCCCUAUUGUCCAGUCAUUGCCUGGAGUAAGGAUGGUUGUGCAUACACGUGCGUCAGUGCACUAUCGGCUAUAACAAAAGGCUACACAACUUUUCUCAGAAGUCCAACUCUUGUAUGCAAGCCAACUGAGAUUUUUCUUAAUCUGUGAUAUGUGCUCAGUUGAUGUUCGUGCAAAUGUUGUCGCAGCUGGGUGCAGCCCGCGAAGGGGCUAUGCAGCAGGUGCACGCAGCAAUAAGGGAGAAGUAGACACGAAGCAGGUUAGGAGGUGUGUGUGCGAGAGAUGAUACUGAACUUGUACUGCUGUUGUACUCGCGUGUGAAAGAUUGUUUUUUUCCUGGUCAUUCUUGUACUGCCUGCCAUGAAAAACCUGAUGACAGAAUACUGAAUAUUUGUGUAUUCUAUCAUCACUUCAUAGAGAAGAAAUUAUUUUUUCUUCAGUGUGUA